rnacentral:rRNA from 1 species
AUGAUGAGGAGCUUGCUCCUCUGAUUUAGCGGCGGACGGGUGAGUAACACGUGGGUAAUCUGCCUGUAAGACGGGGAUAACUCCGGGAAACCGGGGCUAAUACCGGAUAAUAAGAGAAGAAGCAUUUCUUCUUUUUGAAAGUCGGUUUCGGCUGACACUUACAGAUGAGCCCGCGGCGCAUUAGCUAGUUGGUGAGGUAACGGCUCACCAAGGCGACGAUGCGUA